UAUAAAGAGACUGUCUGCCUCAUUUUUUGUAUCUAUUACAUUCUCCUACAGUUGGGUCUUCACUUCAGGUGUCCAACAGAUUCUACUAGCAAGCUUGUCCAAAUUUUCAUAGUGGGCAUUUUCUAAUUCUGCCCCAUCCCUCUUUUAAAACAUGAGAGAGGAUCUCACUGUGUAGCUCUGGCUGGCCUGGGACUCACUCUGUAAACCAGGCUGGCAUAGAAUUCACCUGCCUUUGACUCCCAAAUCCUGUGUUAAAUGUUUGGUAUAGCAUCCCUGGCUUCCAGGACCUUUCUUGAAGCAGAACCACACUUUGUAUUCCUGGUUGGUCUUGAAUUCUUGUUUGUUUCCUGGUUUUUGUUUGUUUUUGUUGUUGUUUUUUCUCAAGACCAUGUUUCUCUGUGUAGCUCUGGCUAUCCUGGAACUCACUCUGUAGAGCAGGCUGGCCUGAACUCAGAGAUCUACCUACCUCUGCCUCUAGAGUCCUGGGGUCAAAGAUGUGGCCACUACGCCCAGCUAUAUCUUGAACUCUCUCUGUAGCUAAGGUAGCCUCCUUCGUCAGCCUCCUAAGUGAAGGGGUCCCAGGCUUGCAGCAGCAGAGCAGCUCACUGUAGUUUUGAUGCACAUCUUUGUAGUGGUCAGGAAUGCUGAGCAUUUUCCCACCUGCACACUGACCUCAUCUGUCUUUGUUUGCCUGUUUUUUGGUUUAUUUGUUGUCUUUUUUCAUUAUGCAAAAUUUUUCAUAUUUGCAUGCUUAACUGUUCUGUGAGUUUAUGCUGUUGAUAAUGUCAUUUAUUUAGUAAAUGGUUUUUCUUUGGUUUUGUUUGAGACAAGGUCCUGAUACGUAGACCGAGAUAACCUUGGACUUGUUUUGAUCCUUCUGCUUUUACCUCUUAGGCCUGUUCUGUAACUUUGUAGUUUUUUUGGAAAUGACUUUAUUCAUCUAUAUGAUGUAUCUUGAUUAUUUUCACUGUCUAAUUACUCUCCCUCAUCCCAACCCCACUCCCUCUGAACCUAUUCCCCUCCUCCCAAAAAGGACCGCUCCUAUUUUCAUGUCCAUUUCUUCAAAAGAUUUUUGUUUAUUUUUAUUUUUUGAUGUGUAUGAUGUGCGUGUAUCUGUAGCACAUUUUACUCCGUGCCCAGGGAAGCCAGAAGAGGGCGCCAGAUUCCCUUGGAAUUGAGUUGAGGUUUGGCUGUGAGCAGUAGCAUGUGGUGCAGCCUGUACUCUUCAAAUUUUUAUCUCUUUCUUGUCUUCUUCUUCUUCUUCUUCUUCUUCUUCUUCUUCUUCUUCUUCUUCUUCUUCUUCUUCUUUUUUUUUUUUUUUUCCUUUUUUGGUUUUUCGAGACAGGGUUUCCCUGUGGCUUUGGAGGCUGUCCUGGCACUCACUCUAGUGAGUGCUGGGAUUAAAGGCAGUUUUAAAAAAUUUAAACUAGCCAUGCUGUGGUGGUAUGUGCCUUGAAUUUCAGCACUCUGGAGGCAGAGGCAGGUGGAUCUCUCAGUUCCAGGCCAGCCUGGUCUACAGAGCAAGUUCCAGGACAGUCAGGACUACACAGAGAAACCCUGUCUCAAAAAACCAAAUCCAAAAAAAAUAAAUUAAAAAGUAAGAAUUAAAUUAAAAAUUUUAAUAUAUAUUUAUUUGGGUAUGUAUUUCAGAGUUCUCUCCUUCUACCAUGUAUGACCAAAGGGCAAGUACUUUUAUUGAACAAGCUCCAAGGCACUCUGUAGGGUUUCCUACUUAACAGAUUGCAUCAUCUUUGAACACAGACUAACCUUUUUUUUUUUUUUUUUUUUUUUAAUGAGGCAGGGUCUUAUGUAGCCCAGGCUGGCCUUGAACUUGUUCUGUGGCCAAGGGUGACCUUGUAUUUCUGAUCCUCUUGCCUCUAUAUUCCAAAUGCCAGGAAUACAUGUAUUCACCAUCGUACCUGGUUAGUUUUAUGCAGGGAUAGGACUCAAACCCAGGACUUCCUGCAUAGUCUCUUCCAACAGAGCCACAUUCCCAGCCUAUCUAUCUAUCUAUCUAUCUAUCUAUCUAUCUAUCUAUCUUAUCUAUCUCUGUCUAUUGAGACAAAGUUUCAUGUAGUCCAGACUUCAAAUUCAUUGUAGCUGAGGACAUCCUUGAACUCUUGAUCCUCCUGCCUGCAAAUCCCCAAUCCAAGUAUUACAGAAUUUCACCAUCACAUCCAACCCUAAACUCCUAUAAAAUAGCUUUUACAGGAAGGAAAAAAUCGACAAACUCUUUGUAUUAUAGAUUGUGAAGUUCAAUUUUAAUUCUUAUGUUUAUCAGAUUGUAUUUUUAUGUAGGAAUCAGGGACAUUUUUGAAGGUCUGUGGUUGGAAGGAUCUGGGAUCCUGCCGUGAAGGUCAAGAUGACCAGCAAAUGAGAGGUGAAGUAAGAUGCUGGAAACCUGAUCUAUGCUUCAGGUUUUUGGACGAAGUCUAACUGGCAGCCCUGGUAAGCCCUAGCCUAGAAGGUGUGUGACUAAUGUGUGAGACUGACUGGUUCCCUUUCUGAAUUCUCUCAAGGCUUUCUUAUCUUAGGAAGUGAGGAAUCUGGCUGAAUCCCAGGACAUCCAUCUGGUUAAAAUAAAUGUCUUGUGAGGUCUAAGAUGGAAAAGAACCUGAUGAAGUCAGGUUUGGAGGUGGGAGACAGAUUUGGAAGUAGGGUACAAUUUGUCUUUGUGAGUUGUAGGGUUUUUAAAAGCAUGUCAAACACAUGGUCUCAACUGUUAAGACUAUUUCCUUCUCACUGAUCUCCUGUGUCUCUGACAGCUGCUUACAGCAAGGUUGUACAGCUGGCCUCAUAUGUACACUGAUGGAUCACAGAAACGUGACAUACUGUGGGAAAAGUGACUGCCUAUGUUAUGUAGUGGACGAAGACAGGGAAGGAAGGUGUACUUGUAUAGUUCACACAGUUUUGGCUCAAUCUAUGAUGUGGAGCCCAGUGGAUGGGAGGAUAGUGAUUAAAGUGACAAUCCCAGGAAGAUGACCUUCAGGUUAUUAUAGAUUGUUGAGGACUUGUGUGUCUGCCUGCCUAUCUGUCUGUCUAUCUGGUUUUUCCCAACAAAUACUAAAAAACUGAUAUAGUGUCUUGGGAGGCUGAGGUAGAAGGACCCUGAGUUUGAGGCUAGCCUAAGCUACAUAGUGAGAUUUAAAAACAAAAUAGAAUAGGUGUCCUUCCCAAAUGAGGCUGUUCUAAGACAAGGAGUGGUCAUAUACUCAACUUCAGGAAGAGGCAUCAGUCAUACUUGCAUGUCAAUUCGAGUGCUAUCAACAGUUUCUCAUGUUUUGGUUGCUUUCUUUUUUUGAGACAGGACCUUACAUAUCUCAAGUAACCUCCAACUUGACUGACUAUAUAGCUUAAGAUGAUCUUGAACUUUUAAAAUUAGGGGUGUAUAUGUGAACAUGUGUGCCCCAGUACAUAUGAGAGCAAACAGAGUCAGUUCUUUUUGUAAUUCAGGUCCUAGGAACUGAACUCGGGUGGUUUUGCAGCCAGUCCCUUUACACACUCAGCCAGGUCAGGCUGAAAUUUUGAUUGUCACAACCCUACAAAAGUUCUGGGGGCUGGAGAGAUGGCUCAGCGGUGAAGAGCACUGGCUGCUCUUCCAGAGGUUCCGGGUUCAAUUCCCAGCAACCACAUGAUGGCUCCUAGCCAUCUAUAGUGGGAUCUAUGCCCUCCUCUGGCCUGCAGGUGUACAUGCAGACAGAGCUUGUAUACCUCCUCCUCCACAAAAGAGGGCCAGGGUGGUGGUGGUGCCAGCAGAGGCAGGAGGAUCUCUGUGAGUUGGAGGUCAGCCUGAUCUACAGAGUGAGUUCUAGGACAGGCUCCAAAGCUAUCCUGUCUUGAAAAACCAAAAAAAAAAAAAAAAAAAGAAGACAAA
ensembl:lncRNA